UCCAAAGGACAUGGGUUCAAUUCUGC
rnacentral:piRNA from 1 species